rnacentral:misc_RNA from 1 species
UUAUGUCAUAGAUAUAACACUGAUAUAGUAAACUAAGGGGGAAAAGUGCAGCCGAGGUGGGACUCGAACCCACGACCGCCAGGAUACUAGUUCGUAGCUUUACCAAUUUAGCUAGCUGUGCACCUGUAGUAGGUUACUCCCAACAUCACUACACACUGCUACACUCCACCCCCUUUUAUCUUUUGAUUCCCCAACCAGGCCAAGCCGUUCCAGGUGUCGACACACCAUUUACUUCUGACACCAGUAGAGCAAACCAAGGGGGUAAAGUGCACCUGACGUAGGACUCGAACCCCAUCAUAAUGAUCAUACUGCUCUGUAGCUCUACCACAUGAGAUAGCUGGGCACCUGUCAUACAUGUCGUAGGCCAAUCUCAACGUCACUACAGCUCUGAAGAACAGCUGCUGUUGAGCAUUAUAGAUCUUUGCAGGCAAAAGAUAUGCUAUGUUAUUCAGAGUAUAGAGAAUGGACAUACUCUAAACAGUACAACAGAACUACAAUAUGUUUUAACAGACUUGUUACAGUUGUCCCGAUUUGUUUGUGUUGGAUAUAGAACUAUUCAAAGUCUUCUUCUUUCAAAAGGUUUGAAAAUACAGGAACAUAAAGUACGACAUGCUCUAAGACAGUGUGAUCCUUGUGGAGUGCUCUUUCGCAGAGUAUUUCUAGAAUACAGAGAAGAACAUACUCAGUUAGUGGUCCUCAAGCACUGUGACAUAUUGAUGGAAAUCACAAAUU